AGAAAACAGACAAAAAAAAAGAGACCGAGAGAGACAGACACACACACACAGGGAUAGAGACCGUUACAGAGAGAGAGAGAGAUUGACACAGGAAAACAGGAAGACACACACACACAGGGAUAGAGACAGAGUUACAGAGAAAGUGAGAUUGACACAGGAAAACAGAGAGAGAGAGACACACACACAGGGAUAGAGAAAGAGAGAUUGACACAGGAAAACAGAGAGA